rnacentral:rRNA from 1 species
GACGUAGGGAGCGAGCGUUGUCCGGAUUUAUUGGGCGUAAAGGGCCAGUAGGCGGCUUGGCAAGUCAGGUGUGAAACCUCCAGGCUCAACCUGGAGACGCCACUUGAUACUGCUAUGGCUAGAGUCCGGUAGGGGAGCAUGGAAUACCCGGUGUAGCGGUGAAAUGCGCAGAUAUCGGGUGGAACACCAGUGGCGAAGGCGGUGCUCUGGGCCGGAACUGACGCUGAGGCGCGAAAGCGUGGGGAGCAAACGGG